UUGUGUUCAUGGAGACACAAUAAAGGGCCUGAGAUGAGAACACGCCCCAGCCCCUGCCCCUGCCCCACACUGAACAGGGUUAAACACGGGCCGGGGGCAGGGUCCAGAGCCCGCAGCCUGCUCAGCCCCACGGCAAAGCCCCCAUUGACCCCUGGGACCGGCUGUGACAGACCCAGCACAGCAGGAACCAGGGGAGCCGUG